rnacentral:snRNA from 1 species
UUGCUCACUUCAGCAGCACAUAUUCUAAAACUGGAACAAUGCAGAGAAGAUUAGCGUGGCCCCUGUGCAAUGAUGAUAUGCAAAUUCAUGAAGUGAUCCAUAUUAAA